GGACAGGAAGCAGGGACCCCGUGGUGGGGGUAAGAGAUCUAGAUUCCCAACUGCGAUAAUGGGAGGCCAGUAGACAGCAUCUACAGUUGACGAACACCUGUGCUUGUGGGUCUCAUGGCUGCCUGUCUACACCGUGGCACCUUCUCCUGGCCACCCUGGCCCAAUGAUAGUGGCCUGAGUUUUCAACCAGCUUUUAACCAGAGCCCAAAGCAAUGCCCGCUCCUGUCACUCCAAAAGCCUGUGGUGCUGGUUGGAUGGCUCAUUCGCUGCAGCAGCACCCCAUGUGCGGCAGCAAGCCUGGAGCUGAGCACGCCACACCCAACAAGUGCGAAGGAAGACCAACUACACAAGCCGGCAGAGAACUGGAAAUGGCUCUUUGAGUCUCUUCCUCUUUUUGUGGAAAAUCUCUCUUAAAAUGUCUCAUCCAAAUAAUUUGAUGGAAAUGAAUUCUGUGCUGGAAGCUCUUUUUGCUAUAAGGGAAAAAGUAGUGUAAGGCGGGUGAUCAAACAUGGUUUAGAUCAGAUGUUUCAGAAAGGCCUCAUUAUGAGGACAUCUUCCAUGCCUCUUUAGUCCAUUCUCUGCACAGCCUCCAAAGGUUUCCUAAAAUCCAGGGCUGAUCAUGCCUCUACCCUGAUGAUAAGUCCUCAGUGGCUCCAAACCCCUUACAGGAUAGAGUCUCAUCCCUCCAUACUUUCUAUAAGUUUCUUUAUGGUCCAGCCCUGCCCACCACCUGUGAAAUGAACUACCCCAUCCCUGCCCCCCGCCCCCACACCUUAGGCUCAGGAUGCACUGAAUUGCUUGGUGCACGAAUCAUGGAGUUUCACACUUCUGUGCCUUUGCACGUGCUUUUCCCAUGGAAAGUCCUGCCAAAUCUUUUGUCCUCAUGGGAAAUUUCUCUUUGUUCUGAAAACCUAACUUAACCGUUGCUCCUUUCAGGAAGGUUUCUCUGGCCCAGAAGAUAGUAAAUCAUUGCUUUCUAAUGCCCCCUCUGCACUCUUGCUGUUCGUAACUUGUCUGCAUGCCUCCUUUACUUAGGAGCUUCCUGUGGGAAGGGAUUAAGUCCUGCCACCCUCAGGCCUGAUCCAUGAUCCAGGCUCUCAUGUGUAUUUUGAGUUUCAAGGAAUGAACAAAUGGAUAGAUACGAAGUCGACCCAAGGCAUAAAUUCUAAGGGCAAUGCUCACAUUCCAGCAAGCUCUGGCAUGUUCAUCUAAAUGAGGCUUCACUGCUGUAAAAGGAAUACAGAGAAUUGAUUCAAUGCAGAGUCAAUCAACACAUCUCUGAGCUACAACCACUCAGACACAAAAUGCUGCCUCAGUGAUUGUGUCCGCUCCACCCUUUUCUUAACAUUGCUUGCCACUGAUUAUUCUAGUCACAAUGAUUAUUUUCUUUUAAUGUCAGCAUAAUCCCUGACAUUUAGUGGGUGCAUAACAAAUAUUGUGAAGGGAGUGAAUGAAUGAAUGAAUGGCAAAUCUACUUUUUUAAAGAAGGCAUCAAAGGAUUAGCUUUUAAAGGCAUUCCCCACAUCACAGACUUUUCUGAGGCAUCAGUGCCCCUGAUCAUUGGGUUGUCCAUCAAGACCCAAUCAAAAAGUAGAAUGGGGGAGGGGUGCAUGAGGGUGGAGGAUGGGGUGAGGGCGGCUGGGGUAGCAGAUGGGACUCUGCACUGGAGAGACACAACGUUGGGUUUCCCUUAGUCAUGUGUCCGUUUCUUUCCUCCCCAAGAAAUGGCCCAACGAUGUAUGGCAUUUCCUGCCCCAACCAGAAGACCGUUGCAUCUCCUUUGCCAGAGGUCCACUCUGGCCUUGCCACAGUCCCUGUUAACCAGGAACUUAAUGUGCACUGGUGAGGGAGAACACAGGUAAUUUCCUACCUUCAUUGCAAGUACUGACAUUAUGCAGUGGAGACACAAAAAUGAGUCCUGGACUAAAACCACGGCCCUUGGGGACUGGAGAUUUCUGAUCACCGUAGCUGUUAGAGCAAAGGCCCUGGAUUCAGGCUGACUUAGAGGGAAAUCCAGGUUCUGGAUCUUUCUAGCCAAGUCACCUGGCUAGAACAAAUCAAUUAUCCUUUUGGGGGCUCAGUUUACUUACCCACAAAAUGGGUCUAAUCUUACCCACAUCAUAAAGUUAUCAUGAGGUUUAAAGGAUGUAAUGCAUAUAGAGCCUACACAGUGUCUAUGUAUAGAGUAAGUGCUCAAACAUGGAAAACUAGGGUUCAGAACUUUCAAAAAUACAUUUACAACAAU